rnacentral:lncRNA from 1 species
UCAUGUCAUGCUGGGGAUGACAACUUGGCUUAAGUGGUAUGAGAGAUAGGUUUGGCAUUUUUGGCACCGUUACUAGAAUUAGAAAACUAAGUCUACUCUUGGUAAUGAUGUUAAGAAUACCCAACAAACGUCGUUGACUCCGAUGACUGUGCAUCCUCCGAUGACUCUAGAUCGACCAUGUGGGGAGAAGAGCACAACCUCGAGGUGACAUUACCCAUUUCCCCAAUUCCUUUAGGAUUGCUUG